GGCUCAGUAGAUCAGUGGUUUUAGAUCGCCUGUCUCAUAAGCAGGAGGCCGCGGGUUCAAUUCCCGCCUGAGCCA
rnacentral:tRNA from 1 species